rnacentral:rRNA from 1 species
AAACCAACAGGGAUUGCCUCAGUAACGGCGAGCGAAGCGGCAAAAGCUCAAAUUUGAAAGCUAGCGUCUUUUAGGCGUUCGCAUUGUAAUUUGAAGAUGGCAACUUUGGUGGCGGCUCUUGCACAUGUUCCUUGGAACAGGACAUCAUAGAGGGUGAGAAUCCCGUACAUGGUGAGAGUACCGUCGCUUUGUAAAGUGCUUUCUAAGAGUCGAGUUGUUUGGGAAUGCAGCUCUAAGUGGGUGGUAAAUUCCAUCUAAGGCUAAAUAUAGGCGAGAGACCGAUAGCGAACAAGUACAGUGAUGGAAAGAUGAAAAGAACUUUGAAAAGAGAGUGAAAAAGUACGUGAAAUUGUUGAAAGGGAAGGGCUUGAGAUCAGUCUUGGCUUGUAGUGAUCAACUGUCUUUCGGGACUGUGCACUCGCUACUUGCUGGGUCAGCAUCAGUUUUGGUGGUAGGAUAAGAACAAUUGAAUGUGGCUUUCCUUCGGGGAAGUGUUAUAGCUUUUGUUGAUACUGCCAACCGGGACUGAGGACCGCGCUUCGUGCUAGGAUGCUGACAUAAUGAUCUUAAGCCAC